UUAAGAUGUCGGGAAUGUGUUAGACGAAUGAUUUUGUUUUAUGGAGCUUUGAAGAGCGAUGAAUGGCACUAAAGUGGUGCCAAAUGGAUAUCUCAAACACCCAUUGUUGAUGUGUGAUGCUGAUAAUACAGAGACAGCUAGAGUGACAGAGUUUGAUGAAUAAACUUAAAUUAAAAAACAGAAAUAACCACCAUCUCUCUCAGAGGUCAUCUUUCUCAUUAUUGUGGGGAAACCUCAAAGGGCAUCAGGAAAACCUUCAUCAACCUCUUUGUGCCCAGUGGCUUGUGCAACAGUGUUUCAGAAAUUAUCAUUAAAAUGGGGAUAAUGGAUGACUGGCCAUACAUAUGGGGCUAUGGACAAGCUUCAGAGCAGGCUGCCAGGUGGUGGUGUUAGUAGUUUAUACUCCGGGUCCCGGCGUGAGCACAUUGAAGGGUCCCAGAGUGACAGUUCAACCACCGCAUACCUAUCCUGGGCAGAACCAGUACUAGGUGCCUUCACCUCUGCAAGGAACUGACAGCUUCUGUACAUGCCAGGUGCAGUGGUACAGUGCGAAUGGUCGUAGAAAGGAUUUCAUAACCAAUCACAACAGAGGUGACCUGGUCCGCCCGGGAAUCGAACCCGGGAUGUCCAAUUCAGAGUCCAACGCUCUACCGAUUGAGCUGACCGGGCGGACAUAUUAGCUACAUUAGAUGACAAGCCAUCUAUGCUGGACAUUCUUCACAAUAAAAUGUGAUGUCACAGGAGCUGUCUAUCUCACCAGCUCACACUGUCCGUAUUUGACUAAAGAAAUGAAUGAAGUCACUGCAGAAGUUAGAUUGAGGAAUGUCCAUGUCACUACCCAUCAUUUGGAAGGAGUUGGAUAAAAAAAGUGUGGCCUAUGUAUUGAAACAGGUCCGAUUUCCAGUUACGGACAGUCUUGAUUUGUCUGAUUACAUUUUUGACCAACAUGAUGGUCUAAAAGAACACUUACUGGUAACUGGUAAAAUCAUGGCCCAGUUGUUCCAAGAGGCAGGCGAGUGGGAAGUUACUAGACUCCAUUUCUUUAUGGGUUGAUCUGAGGUUCCAGUUCAGUUAAAGUACUGUUGGAACACCAAGUGUUUGCCAUAAUACAGCAACAUUUGAUUUGUAACUAUGUAUUUGUUUGAAUUGUUGAAACAGUACUGUUUACUAAAUAAUGUGUAUGUAUAUGAAGAAUAAUAUUAUAAAUAAUUUGUAAGAACCUUUUGAUAUUAAGUAAAAUUUCUAUCUUCAAAAUUGUCGGGACAGGGAUUAUAGCCCUUAAUUAACCCAAAUAUGUAACAUUCAAUGCAAAAUUUCUAAUUGGCUGCAUUUAGGCAGUUCAGAUGCAGGAACAAACAUCACUUGGGUCCUUAAUAAUAGCUUUCCAUCUGACAUUGAAGAUCCAAUAAAAGGAAUUUGUCAUGUGACUGUUUAUUAACUCUCAAUUUAUUGAAAGUGAAAUUACUUACAUGAUUUGUAAGAACUAAAUUAUAAUGAUAUCAAAUGAUUGUUUAAAUUAAAUAAAAUAGAUGAUUACAUACAUGAACUAUUUUUAUUUCUUGUUUGUCAAUAUGAAGAGCAAUGCAAUGGCUUUUGAAUUUCAUAAAAAAGGAUGGAAAAAUGUAUGUUUAUUGUUUAAGCAAUUAAUUAAGUAAUAAAAGUUUUUUUUUUU